AGCUUGGGACGUUUCAGAUUGCAGAAUAAGCUCUGUCUGCCUCUGCAGGGACACUUUCAUCAGGUUUCUCAUUGCUGUGCCCAGCCCAUACCCAGAUGCAGAGGGUUAGCCUUGCCACCCUCUGGAGCUGUGUGUAGGCAGCAGAGCGGCCUUUACGGUGCCUUUGUACCAAGACCGCCUUACUGAGCUUCGUGUAGGCCCUGAUCUCAACAUGCAGGGAGAUCUCCGUGUUCUGUGGAGGAAGUAGCUGGAACAACCAAAAUACAGUUGCUCAGCAUGGAUCUUAGGAAGAUGAGGGGACUUCUGGCCUUCAGGCAUUGGAGUUUCUAUGGCAAGGGGAUGAUCCAGUUCUUCAACUGAGUGUAUACAACUUGGAUAUCAUCCAGUCUGACCUCUCCCAGGUUCCAUCUGGGUGUUUGAACAGUUAGAUUAUCUUUGGCAGCUAGGAAUGUAUUUUUUAUUUUUUAUUCCAAAGUGAAUAUUGAUGUUCAGCAGGUUAUCAAAACACAAGCUUAUAUUGCUGCAAAGAAUCCACUGCUGUAUUCUUUCCAGAGUGAAGUCUUGAAUUGCUUCUCAUCUUGGGGAACAGAACAGUAAAUAAUGUGGGGGACAGAUUCAAAUACAGUCUUGCAGUGAGCAGGUCUGUAAAUACAGAUGUUUUAGGAAAGAAUCUUUAUGAAGGAUCUGUUAUGCACAGGCUUCCCAGACGUUGCAAUGGGUUGCACCUUUAAGAUGUUGUGCAGCUCAUGUCCUUAAUAGAAGUGCCACUUUUCUUGUAAGGAUUAAAUCUUCUUACCCAAACACAAACUUUCUUCCCACAGUCUUCUCUUCGCAGGUGUGUGCGGUGUCUGUGCCAUUCAGGUCUCCUACUCAGAGUAGUAUUUACUGGCUCCAGGUUAGACUUCAUUCCUGGUUCUGUCCAUCUCCUGCCAUUGUCUUUUUCCUUCCAAGGUGCUCAUGCAAGGAAGCUGGCUGACACUGAGUUUCUUAAACUGUUAAGAGAGGUGCAGUUGCAGGCCUUGGUGUAGCACAUAAACGUGGGACCCAACCAUAGUAAAGGGUUUGCUGGACUGAGCACAUCCCAUUUCCCUGUCAUGACAUAUACUGUGUGCCAUAUCGACAAGCAUUUGGUUUUAGCAUAGGUAAUCACUGAUAUAUUCUUCUAAGUGAGAUUCAUUGAUGCUGAUUGCAUUUACUGCAUAAAUUACUUCAUUAUUAAAAUCAGGUCAUUUGAGCCCCAAAACCAUUAGCAUGCAAACUAUUAGCAUAAUUUCAUAAGCUAAUAAAUCAAGCGCAGGAAAAGAAUUAAGUGGUUCCUAGUGAUAAGUGUUUCUUCAGAGAUUAAGAAACACAAUUUUCUUAUGCAUAUAUUAACAUUUUAAAAGUGAAUUCAUGCAAAAGCAAUUUUUUCUGCAUAUAUAAAACUGAUGUUUAAUAAUCUUUAUACUCAGCCUCCAGAGCUCCUUCAAAAUUAAUGUUUUUCUCAAAUCACUGUACAGUAAUUUGGAGUUGAACCAGCUAGUCUGUUUUGAUAUACUCUACCUGUAAAAUUCUUCAUGCUUUUAUUAAAUAGACAAAGUUAGGAAAUAAAACAAGCCAAGAUAUGAUUUAGAAGAAAAAUAGCUUGGAUUCAUCCUAGAUAAUGAAAUGUUCAUCCAAGGUAAACUUAGUAUUCUUAAUCCUAAGCAGUACCAAAUGAAAGUGUAAUUAUCUCCAUAACUGCAAUCUAGAACUACAGUUGUAGUCUUAUUAGAAUGAUGCAUUAAAAUUGAUUUAAUUUCCAUUUCUUAUGUAAUAGAAUGUAAUAUUGGCCAGAAUAACACAAAGAGAUGGGCUCUUCUAUUCACUUCACUGACUAGAUUCAAACUAAUAUCGCAAUACAACUGUAAUUAUUUGGAUACACAAAAGUUGCAUGGAAAUAAAGCAAAUUCCAAAGUAAGUGAAACUGUAAUAAUCAGCAGAUGACACUGCGUAGGAAUUUUGUGUUACAAGGUGUCCAUGAUUUAUGUAUAUUUAGUUGGUUUUGUUUUCCAUCUCCUAGCCUACUGUUUUGGGUUGUUUGGUAUAGUUUUUUUUUCAAUAUGAGCCCCUCAAUGAUAUGUUCCGAGGAAUAAGAGAAUGUGGUGUUUUCAGUAUGGCACUCACCAUACUGAGUAUUUUGGAUCUUCUGGUUUGUAAAACAGUAACAUAACCUUAAUAUUUUCUAACCCACAUGCUGGGGGGAAAAAAAUGCUCAGUAGUUGCUUGUGUUUGCUGCUGUUUAAUGACAAGCUUGACUAAGACAACACUGCACUGAGAACUACCUCUUUGAGGUGUGUUGCUGCCCAUCUCCCUGCACCAGUUCACCAUGAGGCCAGACACGGACCACAGCUAGCACAAGGGAGAUUACAUGCAAGAGGAGAAGUGCAAGGACACUUCUUUCAUGGCAGCUGGUUAUUUUAUCAGCUUUACUACAACUUGAAGCCACAGCCUCAGACACAGUAGAACCAGUGCUGUCCCAAGCGCAGCAUUAGCGGUUUCCUGUGAGCAGAGAUGGUGGGACAGUCACCAGGCAGCCUGCGUGGAAGAGGAGGCCAAAAGAAACAUUAAGUCUGUGAAGAGGAAGGUUCCUGCAGGCAGAGAUCUGUGCACUGCCCCCAGGCUCCUGCUCUGAAUGUGCCUUGGAGGACUUUCUCCACUUACUGGAAAGAAAAUGUGAUCUGCAGUUCAAGGUUCUUCCUCAAGAAAUAAUUCUAAGAAGAUUUAAUAAAAUUGGAAGAAAUUACUAAGGAUGGGUAAACCUUACACAGAAGAGUUGGCAUUUUUGCGUUACACCAAAUAAGGGAGCCCACAGGGAGUCUGUGAAGUUUUUAUAAGAGGCCUGUGAAAAUUUACCUGUGAAAAUUCAGGGAGUUUUGAUUUGCUUUGUAAAGCUCUGCUCUUCUGCUGGGACAAAAGAAAAAAAAGAAAAGAAAACUAGGAGCCUGCAAAAAAAGUAUAUGUUUAUGCUGUAAAUGACUGCAUGCUAACACCUCUGUAGUCAGUUCAGGAAAGGGAUCUUUUCACAAGGUGGGAAACAGUCCAAAUUCAGCCCUAAUUCAGUCCCUUAUGGUAUACAGAACUUGGUAGAAGGAAAUAAAGGAGAACUGCAUCAGCACCCCAGGAAAAAAAAAAAAAAGAGGUAUUGUUCUCCUUUCCCUUUACAUCUGUUCCCUAGCCUUUAAUCAUCCAUUAUCAGCUAUAGUUCUGCUAUGAUUAUUAUCAGAUAUCUAUUUCAGUGAGUAUAGCGUAAUGGUAAUGAAUAAUCUGGAUCUAUUGUUUAAGCAACUGUUAAUGAUUCUACUCAAUGUCUAAAUGAAAACAAAAUUUUUUCUGUUCCUUCAAGCAGGAUUAUUUAUUUUAUAUAUGUUAUAGAUAAAUGUUUACAGAUUAAUCCUUUUUAAAAAUGGGAAACUUUUGCAUGUUUGUGUACCUCUCUGAUAUAAUAAUGAAAAUGUACCUUUUGUUAUUUUGUAGUUGUUUUUAUUUCAAGAUUACACAGAAAGAAA